CAACAUUGGCCACCUCUGCUCUUGAAGUCACAAUCCACAAGCUGAAACGAACAAAAUUCUUCUGCAAAAUCAUGAUCGAAACGCAUACAAGCAUCGCGGCUUCCCUACAGAAGAACUCUCCACUGGCCACGAGCUCCGCCAAUGGAGGCGGCGGAGAUGAAUUCAAACCCAAACAAGCUAUUACUACGUCCUUUACCCUCACUCUUGAGCUCAAACAAUCGGAGAUUAACGGACAUUUUCAACGACUCAAACCUAAACCCUAGGAACUUAGUUCGAAAUUCCUAAUGCUACACGGUGGUGUUGGCAAACAGAUCAAGAAAAAGAUCAAGAAAAACAAUCGGUUACAAAUAAAUUUGAAGGUGAAAUUGCAGAUGGAUGAGAGAAAGGAAACAAGAUGAGUCUUCGACCAUGGGUGAUUGCGGAGUUUCCGGUCCUAGAAUGGGGAUGCUCCAUGCAGAAAACUAUAAUGCAGGACUGAAGAACUCAGAAAACUAUAAUGCAGGACUGAAGAACGAAUGCUGCAGAAUGUUCGGUUGCAGAAACAGGGAAAAAACUCCAAGUUGAAGAAGAUGAUGAAGCCGAGAUUGAGAGAGAUUGAAGAUGGGCGAGUGAAGAUUCUUGCUGAAAGCAGCUUCACAAAUGGAGUGUGGAGAAUGCCGGGAAUAGAAGAUUGGAAUUCUGUGAUGAAAAGAGAUUGUGGUGCAGAUUGCAGAAUCAAAAAAUCCUCAGGUUGCAGAGUGGUCGAUUGAAUCGAAUGUUUAUGGACUAAUGCUUGCAUAUGGAUCGGCUUUGGAGGUUGAUUUGGGAGGCAUUUGGAAGGCGAAAGCAAUAUCUCAGUAUCUCAUUGCAAUAACAUAGAUGGAUUUGUUUGCUUCACAAUUAUUAGUAUAUUUGCUUUCAAAAGCCAGUUUCACAUUUAAUAUAAUGAAAUCUUUAUAUGUAUUAGUUUCCA